UGUGUACAAUUCACAAAUCUAUUUGGCACUGACUUAGUUGUUUUAUAUUUCUCUUUCUUUUUUUUCCCCCUAGAUAAUUUUGAUGCAAAAUACAGAGCAGGAUACCUGUAAAUCACUUCUGAGGAGGACUAUGGCCCCAGAGCUCAUAGCAUUUCCUGACUACAUACGGUUUCAGAACAGUUUAAUUCAGUGUAUGUCUACAUUUCCACUGCAUGUCCCUCAAAUGAGACGUGUGUGGGAAGGAGAAGGAAGAUCUCUACAUCAUCCUUGCUUCCUAUGA
rnacentral:lncRNA from 1 species